UAUGCUUCUUCGGGAGCAGAGACCGGCGCACGGGUGCGUAACGCGUAUGCAAUCUACCUUUCACAGAGGGAUAGCCCAGAGAAAUUUGGAUUAAUACCUCAUAGUAUAGCAGUUUCGCAUGAAACCACUAUUAAAGUCACAACGGUGAAAGAUGAGCAUGCGUCCCAUUAGCUAGUUGGUAAGGUAACGGCUUACCAAGGCAACGAUGGGUAGGGGUCCUGAGAGGGAGAUCCCCCACACUGGUACUGAGACACGGACCAGACUCCUACGGGAGGCAGCAGUGAGGAAUAUUGGACAAUGGGCGCAAGCCUGAUCCAGCCAUGCCGCGUGCAGGAUGACGGUCCUAUGGAUUGUAAACUGCUUUUAUACGAGAAGAAACCCUCCGACGUGUCGGAGCUUGACGGUAUCGUAAGAAUAAGGAUCGGCUAACUCCGUGCCAGCAGCCGCGGUAAUACGGAGGAUCCAAGCGUUAUCCGGAAUCAUUGGGUUUAAAGGGUCCGUAGGCGGUCAGGUAAGUCAGUGGUGAAAGCCCAUCGCUCAACGGUGGAACGGCCAUUGAUACUGUCUGACUUGAAUUAUUAGGAAGUAACUAGAAUAUGUAGUGUAGCGGUGAAAUGCUUAGAGAUUACAUGGAAUACCAAUUGCGAAGGCAGGUUACUACUAAUGGAUUGACGCUGAUGGACGAAAGCG
rnacentral:rRNA from 1 species